ensembl:miRNA
AUCCUUUGAUAUUGAGAGCUGAACCGUUCUGCAGCAUGGCUGCCUGUGGAUCCUCUGGGGAAAGGUAAAUGCUGCAGAAUCGUACCGUUCUUGGUAUCAC